GCCCUUGUAGUAUAACUCAAUACCCUGGUCUUGUAAACCAGACAUGGAGAACCCCUCCUCCCAAGGACA
rnacentral:tRNA from 1 species